CCUGUCUGCAGAGAGGACCUAAUCCACUGUGGGUCUCCUCUCUGCUUAGAGCUGGACACUUGUUGGGAUGACCUGCCUGCAGACAG
ensembl:miRNA